GGCCCAUCAGCUCAGUUGGUUAGAGUGUCGUGCUAAUAACGCGAAGGUCACGGGUUCGAUCCCCUCAUGGGCUA
rnacentral:tRNA from 1 species